rnacentral:rRNA from 1 species
ACUCCUACGGGAGGCAGCAGUAGGGAAUCUUCCACAAUGGACGAAAGUCUGAUGGAGCAACGCCGCGUGAGUGAAGAAGGGUUUCGGCUCGUAAAACUCUGUUGUUAAAGAAGAACAUAUCUGAGAGUAACUGUUCAGGUAUUGACGGUAUUUAACCAGAAAGCCACGGCUAACUACGUGCCAGCAGCCGCGGUAAUAUGUAGGUGGCAAGCGUUGUCCGGAUUUAUUGGGCGUAAAGCGAGCGCAGGCGGUUUUUAAGUUCUGAUGUGAAAGCCUUCGGCUCAACCGAAGAAGUGCAUCGGAAACUGGGAAACUUGAGUGCAGAAGAGGACAGUGGAACUCCAUGUGUAGCGGUGAAAUGCGUAGAUAUAUGGAAGAACACCAGUGGCGAAGGCGGCUGUCUGGUCUGUAACUGACGCUGAGGCUCGAAAGUAUGGGUAGCAAACAGGAUUAGAUACCCUGGUAGGAUAGCG